CCCCCCCGGGGUUUUUUCCCCCCUUUUUUUUUCUUUCGCGGGGUUGUUUUUUUUUGUUGGGGAAUUUGUGGGGGGGGGAUAAAAAUUUUUCCCCACCGGGAAACACAGCUUUUGAGCCCAAUGUUUUACCCCCCAGGUUUUUUUUGGGGGGCCCCCCUUUAAAAAAACUCCAAAGGUUUGGCCUCCAAACCGGGUUGGGGAAGUUUUUUCCCAAAGGGUUGGCCCCGCAGGGCGGCCGCGGAAUUUCACUUAGUGAUUUCUUGGUUCAUUUUGGAAGAAAGUAAAAGGUCGUUACCAAAGGUUUCCGGUUAGGUGAACCUUGCGGGAGGAAUCAUUUAAGGAAAUUUUAUUAAUUUUGAAAAUGGAUUUUUUUGUUUUGGCAGGAGCAUUGAGAGCUUUACUGGGCAAAGAAGACAAGAGAUGGAGAGUCCAGCCGGGCCUGCGCUUAAGUGCGCGGUCUUGCUAGGCUUGUAAGUUUCUUUCUUGCUAUUCCAAACGGUGAGAGAUUUCUGUGCUUUUGUUAUAGGACAAUUAAAACCGUUUCAAUACAACACACUGUGGAGUUUUCAUAUCUUUGCAACUUUUUCUUUGGGCAUUCGAGCAAUCGGGGCCCAGAGGUAACAAACACAAACAAUUUUAUCUAUUCAUUAAAUUUUUGUCAAAAACAAGAAUUUUCGUAACUGGAAAUUUUAAAAUAUUAAAAACUUUCAACAACGGAUCUCUUGGUUCUCGCAUCGAUGAAGAACGCAGCGAAAUGCGAUACGUAAUGUGAAUUGCAGAAUUCCGUGAAUCAUCGAAUCUUUGAACGCACAUUGCGCCCCUUGGUAUUCCAGGGGGCAUGCCUGUUUGAGCGUCAUUUCCUUCUCAAACAUUCUGUUUGGUAGUGAGUGAUACUCUUUGGAGUUAACUUGAAAUUGCUGGCCUUUUCAUUGGAUGUUUUUUUUCCAAAGAGAGGUUUCUCUGCGUGCUUGAGGUAUAAUGCAAGUACGGUCGUUUUAGGUUUUACCAACUGCGGCUAAUCUUUUUUUAUACUGAGCGUAUUGGAACGUUAUCGAUAAGAAGAGAGCGUCUAGGCGAACAAUGUUCUUAAGGUUUGACCUCAAACCAGGUAGGAGUACCCGCUGGACUUAAGCAUAUCAAUAAGCGGAG
rnacentral:rRNA from 1 species